CAGAGGCUGGCAGGAUGGGCUCCUAAGGCUGGCCCAGCUUCCUUUUCCAUCACGAUGACUGAGCUCAGAGUCACCCUGGAUGUGGGAGGGACGCAGUGUGUCAGCUAGUGUGUCUUCUAGUCCUGUGAACCCGUGGAAGCCCUCAUACUUCUCUUCAAAGGACACUGAAGGCUUGCGGACAAGAUGAUAUUUCUCAGCGAAGGAGCAAAACUUAAGAGGCCACCAGCUGCUUAGAUGACUUUAGGUUCAGUGGAUUUAGUUUCCUAAAACAACUAUUUAUCCAUCAACCAUACCUUCAGGCCUCAC